rnacentral:rRNA from 1 species
UACAGAGGGUGCAAGCGUUGUUCGGAAUUAUUGGGCGUAAAGCGCGUGUAGGCGGCUUAGCAAGUCGGGUGUGAAAGCCCUCAGCUCAACUGAGGAAGUGCGCCCGAAACUGCUGAGCUUGAGUACCGGAGAGGAUGGUGGAAUUCCCGAAGUAGAGGUGAAAUUCGUAGAUAUCGGGAGGAACACCAGUGGCGAAGGCGACUACCUGGCCUGUUCUUGACGCUGAGGCGCGAAAGCUAGGGGAGCAAACGGG